rnacentral:snRNA from 1 species
AGCUUUACGCAGUGGCAGUAUCGUAGCCAAUGAGGUUUAUCUGAGGCGCGAUUAUUGCUCAUUGAAGAAAAAAAAAAAAGAGA